AGGACAAAAGAAGAAAGUAAAAACA
rnacentral:piRNA from 1 species